rnacentral:rRNA from 1 species
CACAAGCGUGGAGCAUGUGGUUUAAUUCGAUGCAACGCGAAGAACCUUACCUGGGCUUGACAUCCCGAGAAUCCCCUGGAAACAGGGGAGUGCCUUUCGGGGAACUCGGAGACAGGUGCUGCAUGGCUGUCGUCAGCUCGUGUCGUGAGAUGUUGGGUUAAGUCCCGCAACGAGCGCAACCCUUGUCUUUAAUUGCCAGCAUUCAGUUGGGCACUUUAAAGAGACUGCCGGUGUUAAGCCGGAGGAAGGUGGGGAUGACGUCAAGUCCUCAUGGCCUUUAUGCCCAGGGCUACACACGUGCUACAAUGGGUGGUACAAAGAGAUGCCAACUCGCGAGAGCGCGCCAAUCUCAGAAAGCCAUCCUCAGUUCGGAUUGGAGUCUGCAACUCGACUCCAUGAAGUUGGAAUCGCUAGUAAUCGCGGAUCAGCACGCCGCGGUGAAUACGUUCCCGGGCCUU